AGCCUUGUAAGAAAACACAUUUUGGAUGAGCUCAACAGCACUGGUCAGAAACACCAACUUAGAGGAUUUGAGCUGCUAAAAGCCAUUCAUCUGGAACCAAGUCCCUUCGACAUAGAAAGAGAUUUAAUAACUCCAACAUUCAAAUUGAAGAGACCACAAUUGCUCAAGUACUACAAGGAUCAUAUUGAUCAACUAUACAAGGAAGCAAAGGGAGCAAUGGUGUAAACCAUGCAGCAAGUGGCCAUGUUGUGUGCAAC